ACAGCUGAUUUACAUUGGAAUAAUAUUUCACAGUUUUUACUGUAUUUUUGAUCAAAUAAAUGCAGCCUUGAUGAGCAGAAGAGACUUCUAGAAACAAAAACUAAAAUAUUACUACUUGUAAUAUAUAGAGAGUGAGAGAUAAAGCACAAAAGGUUUCUUUCUUUUUUUUUUUUAAUUAACUUAAUAUAUCCAUGACAACGUCAAAAAAGCUUCUGCAUCAUUGCGCAGAAAUGCCGAACUCUUAUCAGCGCGGAACCUGUUAAAAUCAAUGGUAAGAGACAAUCAAUUGUUCUCCUUUACAAUUAAAACAUUAUUUUUAUAUUUACAGCGAAAGUUAUGUUGAUUAAAAUAUUAAUAGAUGAUACCAAAAGUCGAAUACGGUUUCUUUUCAUAUUUGAUUACAUUUUGUAUACUUGUAAAACCUUUGGAUAAUUAAUAUUUAACGUAUAGUAUGAUAUACGUUUUUAAAAUAUGCUAUGCUAUCCACUUAGCAACAGCGUGACCUCAGAAGUUUGUGUAUUUUCACGUGUGUGUUUUCUAUUUUCUCGUUUGCGUGUUUUCCAUAUUUAAAUUGAUUUUCGCGCGUCUGGAGCCACCUAAUGGUGACUGAUGGCAUUCGUUUGUCUCUAAGGCCUUUAGAAUGCCUGGUCCUCAUUUAUAUAUAGGCCCGUCAAGGUCCUCACUAAUAUAGUUAAACCAGUAUGUGUGUGUGCGUACGUGUGUGUGUGUGUGUGUCUGUGUGUGUGUGUGCGUGUGAUAAAUGUCUGAUACGUUAAAAGCGUUAGUCCUGUACACAUUCGUAGUGAGCUAAGUCCAUUAAAGUAUUAUUAUUUAUAAGAGUUAUUUUAUUAUCAUUUAAAUACGCAUCUGCACUCUCAUCCAUUGUUGGAGAUGCGUUAGGGAGGUGUCUGACGUCGAUGUUUGGAGGUGUGUUAGGGGCGGAGACUUGGGAGCGUUUUCACUCACCGUUCUGACUUCAUUCUGUAUCUGACGACGCAGAGAAAGGAUGUGUUUCACAGAGCAGUGGGCCUGUUAGGGGCGGAUGACGUUGAUGUUUGGAGGAGUGUUAGGGGCGGAGACUCGGGAGCGUUUUCACGCACCAUUCUGACUUCAUUCUGUAUCUGACAACGCAGAGAAAGGAUGUGUUUCACAGAGCAGCGGGCGUGUUAGGGAUGAGUCUGACGUCGAUGUUUGGAGGAGUGUUAGGGGCGGAGACUUGUGAGCGUCUUCACAGGCCGUUCUGACUUCAUUCUGAAUUUGCCAGGGAUGAGAUAGGACGUGUUUCACAGAGCAAUCACCAAUAAGCUAUCAGGCCUUGCCAAGGGGACCACCUUAUGGCUUACAUCUGUGAGCAAUGAGGUGGGCCAAAUCCUCAUCAGUGUCCUGACUGCUCAGGAGGGUCCUUCUCUUGACACCAUGGCUGAUCUCAUCCGCAGGUACAGCAACGCUGUUGUGGCUCCUCCUCAGCUUCUCUAUGUUGACUGUGAAUGUUGUUAAGAGGGCACAGGACAGACAAAACUAAAACAAAGGUUUGGUGGGUGGCCAGACCUGGUUGUAAAGCUUGACAUAUGUCACUUCAUGCAGCGACUGGCAUCUGGGUGUACAAAGGAUGCACAUCCUCUUUACCCCAUCUUCAUGUCCAGACUGUCAAUCUGCAUUUUUGAGUGGGACAGUGGAGAUGUUGUCUUGCUACGUCAAGCUAAGCGGGAACAGUUGAAACGAGCUGUUCCUGGGAUCACUGAAAAACUAGUGGACCAGCAGAUAACCAAGGAGGAACUGGCGUUGCACUUCAGGAGCCGGACAAGAGGGGAGCGGCAGACUGUCAUAAUGAUUGAACUGCUUCUUAAUGAGCUCAUAGGGGUAAAGGGCAGAGACUAUGUUGGUGUCCCUUCUCUUGGACCACGAGAGGAUGCAGCACAUCUGGCAAAUCCAGAAAAAGCAUGUGUAGUGCAUUCAGGAUGAACCAGGUGUCCUCCUGUACACUGUAAUUGGCACCACUGCCAAGGAGAGUGUUGUCUUUGCAAAUUACAGAUGUGCAAGAGGGUCCAUAUCACUUGAAUCAUUCCACUUGCCUCUGAACAGGUUCAUUCCAGGAACCAGUGCCAACGGCCUGAAUUUCCAGGAAGGCUUUAACAGAUGGAACCAGGACUGUGAAGCUGCAUCCCUGGCAGUCAGGCCUCCAUCUCUGCUCAGCUACUCAGACGACCUUGUUCACUAUGUCAACAACUACAAUGUCAAUGUGCUUGGA